rnacentral:rRNA from 1 species
UGGAUUCGCUAGUAAUCGCGCAUCAGCCAUGGCGCGGUGAAUACGUUCCCGGGCCUUGUACACACCGCCCGUCAAGCCAUGGAAGCCGGGGGUGCCUGAAGUGUGCAGCCGCAAGGAGCGCCCUAAGGUAAAACCGGUGACUGGGGCUAAGUCGUAACAAGGUAAC